AUCAGCGUAUGUAGAAUGUUGUUACAGUACUGCUGAUUGAUUUGUAUGAAGAUCUGACAUACGGUGUGGAAAAAAAACUGCUUUUUUCGUUUGCGAAUUUUGCGCAUUCUCUGUGCAACCUUAAUCUAAAGGCUUUUGCAUUUCAGUCAGCUCGUUAUGGCGCACUACUAAUUGAAGUGAUUUGGCUUUAAUUUUCUAGUGAUUUACAAUUUGCAUCACCACUGUUCACAUCUAUUGAAAUAUAAUAGCUUGCACUUGUUUACAAAUGUCAAAACACGCACGGGCUCAAAAGUAUAAUGAUGGCAAUUCGCAAUCCAAGCUGUGAUCCGACCUUUCCUUUCGAUAUUAUUCGACUUCUAGAUCGUCAAUAUCCUCCGUCAAACAAAAAUGCAACGGCGACAACUGUAGUUGGCCGUAAUAAUCGUAAGCAGGCAUUUGGUAGAUCGCUCCAUGGACAACCGUGCUCGAUAAAUGGAGAGCUUCCUUUCCAAUGCGAUCAACCUUUUUGAUGGAGCCCAACUUCUGGAGGAGCUGAAGAAAUCUAAGCUGUGGAACCUAAUUAAAUCCGAACACAGACACCAACUAUUUGACGUGGAUUAUCAACUGCUGGAUUUAAGCACCGAGGUGAACACGACGUGAACCGAAGACUUUUUUUAAAAUUGGUGAACGGUAGAAACAAAUGGCUUCAUAAAGAUAGUGAUAUUUGAAUAUUUGUUCAUUUGUGAAUAUCGACUGUAUAUAUAUUAAUGUCGUUUUCGAUUGAGACCCUAGAAACAAACCCAUGUUAGUUGCUUCAAACGAACGUAUUUAAUUGAACUGAGCUGAGUUUUCGCCAAACAGCGGUGGUGUGAGCGAACCCGAAAUAUAUUUCAGGUUAGAACCCAACCAGGUUUUCAGUUCAGCGGCGCAUAACCUAGGUUGGAAACUGGCUUCAAACACCGGUUAGGUCCGAAGCUGAGUUUGUUUCUGCCUCAAGCGAAAACGACAUAAGAAACAUGUAAAAUAUAAAUUUAAAUGUACAUUUUAA